rnacentral:rRNA from 1 species
CCUACGGGUGGCAGCAGUGGGGAAUAUUGCACAAUGGGCGAAAGCCUGAUGCAGCAACGCCGCGUGAGCGAUGAAGGCCUUCGGGUCGUUAAGCUCUGUCCUCAAGGGAGAUAAUGACGGUACUUGAGGAGGAAGCCCCGGCUAACUACGUGCCAGCAGCCGCGGUAAUACGUAGGGGGCUAGCGUUAUCCGGAAUUACUGGGCGUAAAGGGGGCGUAGGUGGUUUCUAAAGUCAGAGGUAAAAGGCUCGGGCUCAACCGGAGUAAGCCUUUGAAACUGGGAAACUUGAGUGGAGGAGAGGAAAGCGGAAUGCGUGGGGUAGCGGUGAAAUGCAUAGAUAUUAGGCAGAACACCAAUUGCGAAGGCGGCACUCUGGACUGUAACUGACACUGAGGCACGAAAGCGUGGGGAGCAAACAGGAUUAGAUACCCCUGUAGUC